UACAGAGGUCCCAAGCGUUGUUCGGAUUCAUUGGGCGUAAAGGGUGCGUAGGCGGCGCGGUAAGUCGGGUGUGAAAUCUCGGAGCUUAACUCCGAAACUGCAUUCGAUACUGCGGUGCUUGAGGACUGGAGAGGAGACUGGAAUUCAUGGUGUAGCAGUGAAAUGCGUAGAGAUCAUGAGGAAGACCAGUGGCGAAGGCGGGUCUCUGGACAGUUCCUGACACUGAGGCACGAAGGCCAGGGGGAGCAAACGGG
rnacentral:rRNA from 1 species